CCAGCCAGUAGCUCAGAGAGCGCGGGGUCUGGACAGCCGCGCGCUGCGGGUCUCCGGGCGGGCGCCGCGGGACCUCGCUGGGCCAUGGCAGCCCCUGUCAAAGGGAACAGGAAGCAGUCCACGGAGGGUGACGCCCUAGACACACCUGCAUCCCCCACACCUGCUGGCGAGCAGAACGGGAUCCAGAACCCCACCUCACUGGAGGACUCCCCCGAGGCAGGCGGGGAGCGGGAGGAGGAGCAGGAGCGGGAGGAGGAGCAGGCCUUCCUGGUCAGCCUCUACAAGUUCAUGAAGGAGCGACACACGCCCAUCGAGAGGGUGCCCCAUCUCGGCUUCAAGCAGAUUAACCUGUGGAAGAUCUACAAGGCAGUGGAGAAGCUGGGGGCCUAUGAGCUGGUAAGGAAGGCACCUCCCAGUCCUUGCCAAACUGCAUAUCCCUGGGGUGAGCCUGCAGCGCUGUCCUUGCCUCUGGACAGAGGAAGAGCCAGGAUCCCCAGUCCUGCCCCUGCGUCCCUGCCUCCCUGCCUCCCCCGCUGGUACUCUGCUGCUCAAAGCAGCUUUUCAGCCUUCCCCAUCUGUUCUGCCCGCCCCGUAUUGGGAAAACUGCUUGGGCCAGCAGUCCGUGGCCCUAGGAGGGAGAAUCGGCUGGCCGCUGCUGGAGCCGCAGAGCAGCUGCCAAACUGCAGUCUUUCGAGUCCCUGCGAGGGCGGCCGGAGCUGCAAGGACCCCGCCGCCAGGGGGCGCCCGCUGGCCGCGCCCUCACGAGGUGCCCUUGCAGGUGACCGGGCGCCGCCUCUGGAAGAACGUGUACGACGAGCUGGGGGGCAGCCCGGGCAGCACCAGCGCGGCCACGUGCACGCGCCGCCACUACGAGAG
rnacentral:sRNA from 1 species